rnacentral:tRNA from 1 species
UGGCUCAGAUGGUAAAGUAUCUGUCUGUAAUGCAGGAGACCUGGGUUCAAUUCCUGG